GAUGAACGCUGGCUACAGGCUUAACACAUGCAAGUCGAGGGGAAACGACGGGGAAGCUUGCUUCCCCGGGCGUCGACCGGCGCACGGGUGAGUAACGCGUAUCCAACCUGCCUCUGACUGAGGGAUAACCCGUCGAAAGUCGGCCUAAUACCUCAUGGCAUCGUCUGCGGGCAUCCAACGACGAUUAAAGAUUUCAUCGGUCAGGGAUGGGGAUGCGUCUGAUUAGCUUGUUGGCGGGGUAACGGCCCACCAAGGCUACGAUCAGUAGGGGUUCUGAGAGGAAGGUCCCCCACAUUGGAACUGAGACACGGUCCAAACUCCUACGGGAGGCAGCAGUGAGGAAUAUUGGUCAAUGGGCGGGAGCCUGAACCAGCCAAGUAGCGUGCAGGAGGACGGCCCUAGGGGUUGUAAACUGCUUUUAUGCGGGGAUAAAGUGAGGGACGUGUCCUUCAUUGCAGGUACCGCAUGAAUAAGGACCGGCUAAUUCCGUG
rnacentral:rRNA from 1 species